rnacentral:rRNA from 1 species
UGGGGAAUUUUCCGCAAUGGGCGAAAGCCUGACGGAGCAACGCCGCGUGAGGGAUGAAGGCCUCUGGGCUGUAAACCUCUUUUAUCAAGGAAGAAGAUCUGACGGUACUUGAUGAAUAAGCCACGGCUAAUUCCGUGCCAGCAGCCGCGGUAAUACGGGAGUGGCAAGCGUUAUCCGGAAUUAUUGGGCGUAAAGCGUCCGCAGGCGGUCUUGUAAGUCUGUCGUCAAAGCGUGGAGCUUAACUCCAUUUAAGCGAUGGAAACUGCAAGACUAGAGUGUGGUAGGGGCAGAGGGAAUUCCCGGUGUAGCGGUGAAAUGCGUAGAUAUCGGGAAGAACACCAGUGGCGAAGGCGCUCAGCUGGGCCAUAACUGACGCUCAUGGACGAAAGCCAGGGGAGCGAAAGGGAUUAGAUACCCCUGUAGU